AGAGUUUGAUCCUGGCUCAGGACGAACGCUGGCGGCGUGCCUAAUACAUGCAAGUAGGACGCACAGUUUAUACCGUAGCUUGCUACACCAUAGACUGUGAGUUGCGAACGGGUGAGUAACGCGUAGGUAACCUACCUAUUAGAGGGGGAUAACUAUUGGAAACUAUAGCUAAUACCGCAUAACAGUAUGUAACACAUGUUAGAUGCUUGAAAGAUGCAAUUGCAUCGCUAGUAGAUGGACCUGCGUUGUAUUAGCUAGUAGGUAGGGUAAUGGCCUACCUAGGCAACGAUACAUAGCCGACCUGAGAGGGUGAUCGGCCACACUGGGACUGAGACACGGCCCAGACUCCUACGGGAGGCAGCAGUAGGGAAUCUUCGGCAAUGGGGGGAACCCUGACCGAGCAACGCCGCGUGAGUGAAGAAGGUUUUCGGAUCGUAAAGCUCUGUUGUUAAGGAAGAACGAGUGUGAGAAUGGAAAGUUCAUGCUGUGACGGUACUUAACCAGAAAGGGACGGCUAACUACGUGCCAGCAGCCGCGGUAAUACGUAGGUCCCGAGCGUUGUCCGGAUUUAUUGGGCGUAAAGCGAGCGCAGGCGGUUAGAAAAGUCUGAAGUGAAAGGCAGUGGCUCAACCAUUGUAGGCUUUGGAAACUGUUUAACUUGAGUGCAGAAGGGGAGAGUGGAAUUCCAUGUGUAGCGGUGAAAUGCGUAGAUAUAUGGAGGAACACCGGUGGCGAAAGCGGCUCUCUGGUCUGUAACUGACGCUGAGGCUCGAAAGCGUGGGGAGCGAACAGGAUUAGAUACCCUGGUAGUCCACGCCGUAAACGAUGAGUGCUAGGUGUUAGGUCCUUUCCGGGACUUAGUGCCGCAGCUAACGCAUUAAGCACUCCGCCUGGGGAGUACGACCGCAAGGUUGAAACUCAAAGGAAUUGACGGGGGCCCGCACAAGCGGUGGAGCAUGU
rnacentral:rRNA from 1 species